GUCUAUGGCAAUACCACACUUAACAUGCCUGAUCUUGCCUGAUCUUGAGAAGCCAAGGGUCAGACCUGGUUGGUACUGGUUAGUUAGUAAUACUGGGUGUGGUAGGCU
rnacentral:rRNA from 1 species